AUGUAUCUAAAAGUAAUGUUAUUUUUAUAAAAAUGGUACAGCAAAUGUUUUGGCUGUACAAAGGCAUGUACGUGUUUGAUAAAACACUCACCAUAUAAUUAUUAAAUGAAGUAAAAACGGUUUAAUAAACUUCUUUUAAGUGACAUUAAUCAAUUAAGCAAAACAAACACCAUUUUAUCCAAAAAACAUUUAUUCAGUCAUUUUUACAAUAAUUUUUUUGAAACGUCAAUUGAAGUUGUCAUCAAAGGCUUGUGUUCUUGUGUUCAAAACUCAUUCCUUCGAACAGAAGCCAUCAAACUCUCUAUCUAAAUAGAACGCAUAGUGACCCCCUUCAUGGCGAACCGCGCGAAAUCUGUGGCUUUGCAAAUGGCUUUGUAUCACAAGGUCUAACAACACUGAGAGCACAGAACGGACAUCGACAUAAAUCGCCGACUCGGAUGUCUUCGAUGCAAAUGCAGUCAUUAAUUUUUCUCACUGUAACAUGUAUCUGUCAACAACAAUUAAAUAAUCCCCGAAGCAGAAAAGACGUUAAGCAAAGAGACCAUCAAAUUAUAUCGCACAUGUAUUAUAUCCAUCUUCUUCUUUCCUUCAAAAGAAAAUUACGAUUUCAUUUUAGCUAAAGGAAAUGACGUAUAACUAUGGUUACGGCUGAUUGGCCAACGCAGUUGCCCGGAGGAAGCUCCUUUGACCAAUGAGAAACCUCUUACCACGCCCCUACCUCUUGCCACGCCCCUACCUCUUGCCACGCCCAUUGCUCCAAGCUGCAGCUACCCCUGUCUCUUUGUAUGCACAGAUUGGAUGCAUUGUGUGUUGUAAGCUUUUCGUGGCGCUAGAUGUCAGACAGAUGCAAAUGGCAAAUACAUACGGAAGUGUAAAACGUGUAUGGCGAACAUUUGUUUUUUUCUGUCAUUAUAGAUGCUAGUUUGGUGAAAGUUCACACUGAGUGCUUCAAAUCAUUCAGAAGAGAUGCUGUUUUUAGGGCAGUUUAUUAAAGAAGACCUGACAUGGAUGACUUCCAAUGAGAAACGACUGCUAAUACUUAUAUAAAUUCAUUACAGAAGGACCCUACCAGACUAUAUUUGAAUACGGCAUACCCAUGAAUUCUGGAACUGUUAUUCCUUAACCCAGUUUGGAGGAUAAGAGCUUACCAACUAGUUAUAAAUAUGCUGUAUUGUGAUGUAUUGCAAAAUAGCCAACAUACAACAAUAUGGAUGACCCUCUGUCUGGUCAACAGGAGUUUAAAUAUGGACGGGACAGUGAUGUGGCAGCUCUUCCCUGGCUCAUUCACCUCUUGCCUUUCAUUUGUGAAAGGAAGAAAGAAGAAAGAGGGUCAAUGUGCAACUGAAGCUACUGAUUGUGCUAUGUGAUGAGCAUCAAUCCAUGCUUUGAGGGGUAUGAAUCAGCACAGCCCUGCCUGCACUGCGCUGGGAACAGAAGUUGCAUCCAGAAUUUUUGCAUCAUUCUGGACCAAAAAGCCAUUCCCUCCAUGAUGAAGACCACUGAUGCAGCCUUCCACUACAUCAUGAGUAAAACAACUACAGAACUAAAUACCAGGUUGGAACGUAUUUAAGAAAAAUGAAACGUCUUUUGAAUUGAAAUGUCUGUUUUGUUAUGGAAAAAUCUGUAGUAUUGUGAAGGAUAAGCAUUUCUGCCUGCCAGUAAGGUAAUUGCAGUGUAUUUUAAUGUUCAAGUUUUGAGUAGGGUGGCUAAUUUUUUUUUAACUCAUUUGAUUUAUUAAAGACCUUAUAAUAAGUGGUUUUCAUGUCACUGCGCUCUGGUAUAAGAUAACUUUCAUUAUUCCAUACUGUAUUCUGUUUCUAAUUGUAGCUGAGGUAUUUAAAUAAGCAGUGUUAAAUGCAAAGUGUUGUGUGUAUCAAUGUAAAUAUUAAAUGUGAUGUACUUUAAUAAAAAGAGGUUUUGCAAUAUUUCUUGU